GACGAACGCUGGCGGCGUGCUUAACACAUGCAAGUCGAACGGAAAGGCCCUGCUUUUGUGGGGUGCUCGAGUGGCGAACGGGUGAGUAACACGUGAGUAACCUGCCCUUGACUUUGGGAUAACUUCAGGAAACUGGGGCUAAUACCGGAUAGGAGCUCCUGCUGCAUGGUGGGGGUUGGAAAGUUUCGGCGGUUGGGGAUGGACUCGCGGCUUAUCAGCUUGGUGGUGGGGUAGUGGCUUACCAAGGCUUUGGCGGGUAGCCGGCCUGGGAGGGGGAACGGCCCCCAUGGGACUGAGGUAAGGCCCAGUCGCCUACGGGGGGCAGCAGGGGGGAAUAUUGCCCAAUGGGCCGAAGCCUGAUGCAGCAACGCCCGGGUCGGGAUGACGGCCUUCGGGGUGUAAACCGCUUUCGCCUGUGACGAAGCGUGAGUGACGGUAAUGGGUAAAGAAGCACCGGCUAACUACGUG
rnacentral:rRNA from 1 species